rnacentral:rRNA from 1 species
CAAUAGCGUAUAUUAAAGUUGUUGCAGUUAAAAAGCUCGUAGUUGGAUUUCUGGUGGGAGCGAUCGGUCUGGCGCUUAGCGCGAGUACUUGCAUCGUCUCCGGCCAUCCUUGGGGAAAGUCUGUCUGGCAUUAAGUUGUCGGGCAGAGGAUCCUCAUCGUUUACUGUGAAAAAAUUAGAGUGUUCAAAGCAGGCUUAUGCCGUUGAAUAAAUUAGCAUGGAAUAAUAAGAUAGGACUUUGGUACUAUUUUGUUGGUUUGCGCACCAAAGUAAUGAUUAAUAGGGACAGUUGGGGGUAUUCGUAUUCCGUUGUCAGAGGUGAAAUUCUUGGAUUUACGGAAGACGAACUACUGCGAAAGCAUUUACCAAGGAUGUUUUCAUUAA